AGAUACUCAAAGCUGGAAAUUAAAAACACAAAUUAGGAACCGUGAGAAGCAUCCUUGUUAAAACCUUCUAGCUUGAGGUCUUACAUCACUAUACUCCUCAUAGCUAUUGCAAAAAAACAAACAACUGUGGAUGGACAACUGCUAAAGCCAUUUAAAUGCGAAAUAGGUUUUGAAAGUAUUUUCAAUUAAAUAAUCUAUAGGCUACAAAGCGUAAGAUAUAAAGGAACACUAAAGAUAGGCUAUUAAAAAAAAAAAUCAUUUGUAGCACUUUUAGCUAAUUUCGAAACAGUAUGACGAAAUCACAUGACUUGGAUAGAAAAAAAAUAUAUGUGCCUAGGCUAAUUUUGAAAAGCACUCUGACGCGUGGGUUCAAAAUCUCGUCGCAGCAGUUUUGAACGCUCCCAACACUUCUCAGAUGAUUUAUUUUUCAUGAUUUGGUGGCGUUGUAGUAGGCUAUUUGUUCAUCUGCGCCUCUCAAGGACAACUCGGAGGUUUUUUGUUGUCAAUAUUUUGCGGACCAUGGUACUUUUACUAUAUUCAAAAUGGACUGCAAACGUACAUCUCAGGUAAAACACGAUUUCUUUGGGCGUGGUGCUCAAGAUUAGGACGCCAUUUGAUGUAAAGCAUGAAACGCUAUGGGAAUUAGGCUAAAGCUAUUUUUCAUGAACGUCACUUUGGGGAUUUUACCUUAGCUCGUAAGAUAUUCAUAUAAGAAGUAUUGCUAGAAAAGUGUUAUUGUUUUACAAUAGAAUAGUCCUUCAAACACAAAACGACUCUCGAUGCAGCCUUCAGCACAAGGGACCACUGAACGAACCAGUUACGUUAGUCAAAGGAUUCCACUUGAAAACGCAAGUGAAUUAAUCUUUGUGGUGAACUGAUCCAAAAGAUUUGAAUCACUGGAGUGAUUUAAAAUCCCCACCACAAGCAGUCGGUGAGAUGCGGGUGGAGCGAGCGCACCAUCAGCCUCCGGAGCAGCGCGCAGGGCUCAGCAUCCAAUCAGCGCAAGGCGGACGUCUUAUAGAUGCUGUGUGCUCUUCACUUUUACUCACUGCAAAGGCGCCUGAUCCGCUGACCUGUCAACAAACUAUGCUUCCAGACUUGGCAGGAGGGAUGUAAAGUGAAUGGAACCCUCUUCACAUCCUUUUUCUGCUCUUGGCUUCUAAUUAAAACUUGGCUGUAGAACAUUUCCCUCUCAAAUGUUUAAUUGCCUUUCAGAUGUUGAUGGACUCAUUUGGAUUCUCUCCAGGGCACUUAAAAUGACUUCAAACACCUGAAAAUUAUAAAUCACUACUCCACAUGUGCUCACAGGGCAUUAAUAAGAAAAAACUCCCGCUGUUGGAAUGACACCGUGACCUGUAAUGUUUAUUCGUUAUUUUUUCAAUAUGACUUGGAUUAACAACGUCUGCCCUUGAAGUGUAGAGCAUU
ensembl:lncRNA